rnacentral:lncRNA from 1 species
AGGUUCCACUGGCCGCUAAGUAGCUGGGUGGCAGAAAAAGUACUGACUGGGCUUGCUUUAGUAACAGUCUCGAUGUUUUCGUAGGAGAUGCUCCGCGUGAGAUUUGACAGGACCCAGUAGGAUUGUUAUGUGAACAUAUAAGAAAAGAAAUGGAAAAAAUGCAACAACAUAUAAGAAAAAGAAAAAUGUCAACUGAAGGGACAUUUCGCAUUAAGGUGUAUGUAUAUUUGGAUGCUGAAAGCCAGACAAUUGCUUUCUAAGAGAAGAGACUCAUCCAGCAUCUCACAUAGGAUCAAAGUGUAAUUUACCCAGUUGAGAAAUGCUUCAUUUACUCCUACCUCUUCCUCGAAGCCAGGAGAGCUGUCCAGGGUUAUGUGAAGAUACUCUCUCUGAAAAAACUCAUCUAAUCCCACAGCUCCAUUACCAAAUCUGUUCUGAUUUCUCUGGAACCUAUUCUGCAGCCUAAAUCUCUCUUAAGCUCCAGAGGCUUAUACCCAAUGGCCUCCUGAACAUCUCCACUUGGCUAUUCUGCAAGUACUUCCAACCCAACAUGUAUAAAACUAAACCUGAUAAGUAUGACUUUCUGAUCAAGUGAUUAAAUGCCUUUCUGAGGUAUGAUUAAGGCUAUUGACUCCUUAAUGUUGUAGGACAUUAUUGUUGUAGUUCAAAGCUAAUGCAUGCAGUUAUUAGACACGAA